rnacentral:tRNA from 1 species
GGGGAUAAAGCUCAGUAGUAGAGUGCUGGCCUAGCCCUUGUGAGGCACUGGGUUCAAUCCCCAAUAUCACCA